AUUAGAAAUAGAAAUUAUAAUGUUGUGUUUCAGGGUGUAUGUAAGGUAUUAAUUUUAGCUUGUUAACCAAUGAGUGCACUUUUCUUUUUCCUGCAACAACUUGCUCUCUCAGCUGGACUUCUUUCUAUCUAACCAGAUACUUUCAAGAUCUGGGAGCUUCAGGUUCCUUGCUCCCUUGGCUUUGCCGUUGAUAACUUCCUGUCCAAUCCUACCAAAGUCUGGAACUGGAACAUCCAAGGGUUGCCCUUAGACGCCUUCUCUACUGAGAAUGGCAUCAUCAUCAAGCGAGGCCAUAGGAAGAAGUGUUUAAACUAUAAACUGAGGAGGAGAAAAUAUCUAGGAAAAGAGAAGAAAGUUGGCAAAACCAUGGUCUCCUUCUUCCUGAAUUUGUAACUUGGCCUACAAAGAAAGCAUCAGUCCUACUACACAGGAAGAGUCAACACUCGGAGGAGGCCUUCUGCACUUUGUCCUCUCCUUCUUUUCACUCCUCAUAAUGGGAAAGAAAACUCUGGCAGUUACGGUUGUUGAAAAUUUCAAAGAUGGUGUCAUCGUGAAGAACAUCUGGCUCUUGAUCCCAGUGCUUGGU
rnacentral:lncRNA from 1 species